AGACCAAACGGCUUCGUUCGCAUCUUUCUCUGCCGCCAUUAUGGAACUACAACUCAAACUAGCGCACGACCUCAACGUCAUCGUUCUCAGCCACUCCCUCUGUUUGCUGAUUGGACCGCCAAAUAUUUGGCCGGAGAAAACCCAAGAAUAUACCA